UACGUAGGGUGCAAGCGUUGUCCGGAAUUAUUGGGCGUAAAGAGCUUGUAGGCGGUUUGUCGCGUCUGCUGUGAAAUUUCGGGGCUCAACCCCGAACGUGCAGUGGGUACGGGCAGACUAGAGUGUGGUAGGGGAGACUGGAAUUCCUGGUGUAGCGGUGAAAUGCGCAGAUAUCAGGAGGAACACCGAUGGCGAAGGCAGGUCUCUGGGCCACUACUGACGCUGAGAAGCGAAAGCAUGGGGAGCGAACAGG
rnacentral:rRNA from 1 species